GAUGAACGCUAGCGACAGGCCUAACACAUGCAAGUCGAGGGGCAGCACAUGAGUAGCAAUACGAUGGUGGCGACCGGCGCACGGGUGAGUAACGCGUAUGCAACCUACCUAUUACUGGGGAAUAACUUUCGGAAACGGAAACUAAUACCGCAUAAUACCACGAGAUCGCAUGAUUUUGUGGUUAAAGAAUUUCGGUAAUGGAUGGGCAUGCGUGACAUUAGUUUGUGGUAGGGUAACGGCCUACCAAGACUACGAUGUCUAGGGGUUCUGAGAGGAAGGUCCCCCACACUGGUACUGAGACACGGACCAGACUCCUACGGGUGGCUG
rnacentral:rRNA from 1 species